rnacentral:tRNA from 1 species
UGCGGUUUUUGGGGAGUUUUCGUCAGGCUCAUAACCUGAAGGUCGUAGGUUCAAAUCCUACCCCCGCAACCA